rnacentral:rRNA from 2 species
CGGGGGCGACGGGCGGAACUUAAGCAUAUCAGUACGCCCCGGAGGAGAAACCAACCGGGAUUCCCCGUAGCGGCGAGCGACGCGGGAGGAGCCCGCCCCGAAGGCGCGCUGUGGGGCGCAGGCGCAGGCCCGCCGCGAGGGGGCCCGAGGGCCCCGCCCGAGAGGGUGCAAGCCCCGUACGGCGGCCGCCGGGCCUGCGCGGCGAGUAGCGCUGCUUGAGCGUGCAGCGCGAAGGGAGGCGCGGCCCUUCCAAGGCUAAAUACGCCCCGGGACCGAUAGCGGACCAAGUAGCGCGAGCGAACGGUGAAAAGGACGCCCUGCGGCCGCUCAAAAGACCUGAACCCGGCCGGCCGCCGGCCCGCCGGCCCCGUCUCGAAACACGGACCGAGGAGCCACGCGCCGCGGCGAGCCCGAGGGAGCCCCCGCGGCGGAGCGAGCGCGAGACGCCCCGGGCCCGCCAUGCCCCUGCGGGCGUGCGCGGGCCGAGCCGCGGCGCGUGGGCCCGAAAGGCGGUGAUCUAUGCCCGGCGAGGGCGAGGCCGGGCGAAAGCCUGGUGGAGGCCCGCCGCGGUGCUGACGCGCAGAUCGCUCGUCGGAGCCGGGCAUGGGGGCGAAAGACUCAUCGAACCGCCUGGUAGCUGGUUGCCUCCGAAAUGUCUCCCAGGACAGCCGCCGCCCCGCAGUUGCGGCCCGUAGAGCGCUGGCCGGCGGGAGCGGGGGGCCUGCCCCUCGCCCGCCCCCCAAACUCCGAAGGGCCGCGCCGCCCCGCCGCUGGCCUGGGCGGGGCGGGCGAAUGCGGGCGGCGCGUGGGCCCCUCCUGGUAAGCAGGACGGGCGAGGCGGGACGAUCCGGACGCCGGGCCAGGGUGCGCCGCCGGGGCCCGCGGAACGGCGUCGGCCGGUCCCGACAGCUGGAAGGUGGCCCCAGAAGUCGGCAUCCUCCAGGGAGUGUGUAACAACCCACCAGCCGAAUCGGCCGGCCCGGAAAAUGGAGCGCGCCGGAGCCCCGGACCCGCGCCCGGCCGCCGCGCGCGGCGGGUAGGAGGCCGCAGAGGCCCCGGGGGCGAAGGCGGCGCGCAGGCCCCGCCGGACCGGCCUCUGGUGCAGAUCUCGGCAGCAGUAGCCGCUACUCCGCGCCCCGGAGGACUGAGGGGGAGACGGGUUCCGCGGCGCCUGCAUCUGGCCGCGGGUGACUCGGGCCUAAGCGGCGGGUGAAGACCGGGAAGGGGCGUGCCCGCCCGUCGAACGGGGAGCCGGCGGAGACUCCGGCAGGCGCGGCCCCCGCGGAGACGCCCGCCCCCCGGCGACGCGCACGGGGACCGCGGCGGGCGGCGCCCCGGCCCGCGAACGCCCCGCAGCCCCCGGACGCCUUGCGCGGAGAGGGGGGCCCGGGGGCGGACCCCGCGCGUCCCCGGCCGCCCCUGAAAAGCCGGGGGGCGCCGGCCGCGCGCCGUACCGACCGCAGCAGGACUCCGGGGUCAGCAGCCUCUAGCGCGGGAGCGAACGCGGCUCAGGGAAGUCGGCAAGCCGGCUCCGUAACCUCGGGAAAAGGAGUGGCUCUGACGGCGCGCCGGGUCAGAACUGGAACGGACGCGGGGAUCCCGACUGUUUACUAGAAACACAGCGUCGCGAGGGCCGCACCCGGCGCUGGCGCGACGUGAUUUCUGCCCAGUGCCACGACCGUCACCGUGAAGCGAUCCGCCGAAGCCCUGGUAAACGGCGGGAGUAACUAUGACUCUCUUAAGGUAGCCAAAUGCCUCGUCGGGCAAUUUCCGACGUGCAUGAAUGGACCAACGAGGAUCCCACUGUCCCGAGCCGCG